rnacentral:lncRNA from 1 species
UUGAAGUGCAAUUGCAUUUCAUUGAUAAUAUAAGCUUGAAGGCAUUGAUUUAGUCAUAAAAGUACCUAAAAGAUGGCAUGAGGAAUUAAGGACCAUCUUUUAUUUUUGUAGGUUCUUUUACAUAGAGGUUACAUGAAUUUUUGGAAGCAUCAUGGUCAAGGGAUUUUAUAGUUAUUUUUUUCCAUAUUUUUGUUACUUUAUAUACAUGAAUCAUAUGAUCUUUAUGAUUUUCUAUAUACAAAAGAAUUAUUGGAGAAGUCUUUACCCGUUUUCAAAUUCUCUAACCUAUUAUCAUUGCUUCCUCUCUCUCUAUUGUGUAAAUUCUACAAUGCAAUUUCAUUUCGCUUCCUCUUUAUUUCUGGUUGUCGAUGGCAGUUUUAUUGCAUUGCGUCUUCUAUAUCUAUUCAAGACAUGAAUAAUCAUGUCAGAGUAUUACAGGAAAAGAGUAAAAGUAAAGAAAAGUGAUGAAUGCAAUGAUAGAGAGGAUGUGAUAGAGGAAACUGCAAGAGAAGUUAGCGGGAAUGUGAAAGUGAAAAUUAGUUAAUACAAUUUUUAGUAACCGCUAGAUUUUGAGAAUUGCAGUUUCAUGUUUUGUUAACUUGGGAUAGAAAAAUGCUAAAGCAAUGUAUUUGAUUUGAUCAAUAAUCAAAUGGUAAAAUGGGCGCUAGAAAAAGCCAAGCCAAGAAGGAAGAUGCUUAAUAACACUCUGCCAAUAUUUUCUCUUAAAUUUUGAAACUACUGUAUGUUCGGAUUGGUGGUAUGAGAUGAAAUGGAAUGAAGUGGAGUGAUAAUUAAUGAGAUUCCAUUGUUUGGAUUUGUAAAUAAUUGAUGAAAUAGAAUGGAACAUGAUGAAAUCCAUUCUAUCUAAUUUCAUUCAAAUCUCUAUUUUUUGUUUCAUCUAAUUUGAGGUGUAUGUGAUGGAAUGAGACAUUUUUAAUAAAAUAACCAAACAAUAUAAUGAAAUCUAUAUUCCAUUCCGCUCCGUCAUGUUCCAUUCCGCUCAACUCCGUUAUGUUUCAUCAAUCCAAACAUAGCCAAAGAAUAAUCUAUUGUUAUCAAAAUUCAAAAUUACAAUAUAUAUUUUCUCAGCAGUUAUUACAUUUCUUGGAUUUUUAUUUUUAUUUUUAAACGGAUGCAUCAAUUAUUUAUAUAGGUUUCUCUUCUUUUUUCAAUCUUAAUUUUCUCUUUUUCUUCAUCCAUAAAAGAGGGGUGAUUUUAUGGUCAAUUUUUUUUAUCCAAAAUCACCCUUUAUAUUUUUUUUCCGUUUUCAUUCAAAUAAGUGAUUUCACAUAUAUUUUUAGUUUUUUUCUACGUGAUUUCGUCGUCUUAGUGUGACGUUGUGUUGAUCGUCGUCUUAUUGCGAUGUUAUUUUAUUUUCCCGUCUUAGUGGGAUGUUUGUUCGAUUCAAAUUGACAGAUUCGUUUCGACUCAGUACAUAUUCAAUCAAUGAUUUUCACAGUUUAUUGUUGUGGUGUUACGAAGUAGAUUAGAGGGUGUUGCGUGUGUCGCGCUGCGAAAAAUAUAGAGUCCCCGCCGGAUUUUAUUUAUUCCAAAGGAAAGAGAAAACAUCGAUAAAACUCCAAAAAAACGGUCUUUGCAACCAACAGCGGAUUCAGGAGUCGGUUAUACAAGGGAAAGGUAUUAGUAUCCCUCACACUCGUUGUACUCAACGAGAACCACUUUACUUGUUCUUUGUGCGUAUGGAUGUUGCUAUCUGAAUGUUACUUACUACUGGUUAAAUGGAGAAAAAAUAAGUUUUAAAUUAGUGUGGUCGCCAAGGAUUCGAAUCCUUGUGCCUACAUAUCAUCAUCGUACAAUAGGGAAGUCAGAGCUUUGUAGUUCCGAGUACAUAAUUAGUGUGUAUUAGUUGUUUUUAGUAGACAAUGUUUACGUUCGCUUUCUAGCAGACAAGUAUCAGACCACAAGGUAGGUAUGGUUGACAAUCUGAAUACUUGGGAGUUGAGAGGACAUUUGCAUCCUAACCACUCUUUUUCAUCCAAAGAGUUUUUGUUUAUGAAAUUAUUUGGAGAGUUUAAUCAUUGGUACUUAGAGGGUGACAAGCAUCUAACCACUGACUAAGUACGUCCAACAAUUAGAAUAUUCGGGAGUUAAGAGGACAAUGGCAUUCUAACCACUCUUUUUCACUCUCAGAGCACCAGAUUAAACUCGUUUUAUUGUUACGUGUUUUGAAUGGAAACCAAAUAUCGGUCACCAGCUAGGUACGACCGACAACCCAAGUACUUGAGAAUGUUGUGCACAAGUACGUACGCCCCAAUAUUUUUCUCCCAGUUUAUUGUCAAAAUGUUUUGAAAAGUCAUUUGAAGUUGGAUCAAGUGUUUGAAAUUUAUUUGUGAAAGAUGUGAGAAGAAUGAGAUUGAGAUAGAUGUGUGAAAGUAAAAUGGAAUGGAUGAGAUACUUGACGUUGGAUCAAGCACUCGCGUUGCUUUCAAGUGAAUUUGAAUUGGAAAAACACUUGAUGUUGGAUCAAGUGUGUUUUUAUUCAACCCUCUCCCUGAAUCCCUCACAUUCAACGUUCUGAGGGAUUCUGAGAGUCAACUUAGGUAAAAAAAUUGUAUUUUUUUUGUAAGGAAUGAUUUAUAAUGAUUUUGAUGUAUUGAAUUGGAUUGAUAUUUUUUUGAAAUGGAAAUGAACUUUGAAUGAAUCAUGGAUUUUGGAUGAAACAUGGCUUAAUGGAGUGAAUUUGAAUGAAUGAUGCACUUGCACAAAUGAACCUUGUGUUAGAAUGAAUGACGUAUUAAUCAUGUCAUUGAAAUGAAUGUGAAUGAAUGAAAUGGAUCUUAUCAUGUCAUGGAAAUGGACUUGAACAAAUGAACCUCAACCAAGCAAUUAGGACCAUGAACAUGAAUGAAAUAGAUCUUGUCAUGCCAUGCACCACAAUCAAGCAAAUGAAUCCCUCACAAUUGACCAAAUGAUGCAGAUGAAAUCCCAAACCUAUAUGCACCCAUAAUGAUUAACAAUGCUAGAAACAUGAAUUCGGGUUUUAGGAAUUGGUUGAUCAUGAUGAUGUUUGCAAUCCAACGUCCAAAUCACCAAUGCCAUGACCACAAACCACGGUCCAAGAAUUAGGGUUUCAGGUUAUACUCCAUGAUCAAGACAACCAAGAUGAAGGACUCACACAUACAAGCAUACCAUGGAAGAACCCUGACUUAGGACUCAACCUCAAUUCAUUGCUUUGUGUGAUCAAGACCUUUGAAUCCAUGAUUUUGUUUCUUAAUAUGCUCAUGGAUAUGCAGAUGAAAUCUCAAAUCAAAAGUUAGAUGGAAAUGAAAAGGGGAGAGCAAAUUUUGGGGUAUGACAGCGUGAAUAAUAUGAUGGUUGACUUGAAGUUAAAAUCGUUGUGCACAGUAGUGACAGAGUGGUCGCCGUUGCUAGUCGGCAAUGUGACGAUGGUUUGAUUUUAUAUGGUGGUAAUGGUGAGUGUUUUUUUAUGAGGAGUAAUGUAAUAUGGUGAAAUUUGUGUAGAGAUUGUGAGAUUAAGAUGUGUGUUGUUUGAUGUUGAAGGAGUGUAUGAUGAACAGUGCGAAACGAUGUAUUUGAGUGGAUCGAAGUGAGGUGUGUAGUUAUGAAGAAUGGGCGUGUGUAAGGUUUGAAAUGGUGAUGUGUAGUGAUAAAUGCAUGUAUAGCUCUUUGGAGUUUGCAGUAUGCGUUUUUGAAGGAGAGAUGAGGAUGAUGUGAGUUAUUGCGCGUGAGGCUUUGUAUGGGAAGGAUGUAUAUGUGACUGAGUGGUUUAGUGGAUGAAGGAUUAUGAAGUUGGUGUGGAGAAGGAGAUAUGAGUUUGCAUUAGGAAGAAAAGUUGGUGGAUGAAGAGCUUUUGUGUGUUGUAGCAGUAAUGGAAGAAGUAUAUGGUGGGGAAGGAAAGUGAGGGAGAGUUUUUUUAGAAGAGUUAUGAAAAUGGAUCCUUUUUUUAAGUUAAUGUGUGUGUGUUCACGUUUUUGGGUGGUGAGAGGUGUUUCAGGAAGUUGGUGCUUAUGAUGUGAGUUAAGUGGAGAGAAGGAGAGGUCCCCUUAUGUCAACGUGUUCACUGCUAUAUGAAAGUUAAAAGCCUAUUUGUUUUUUUCUUUCCAAACUUUUUUUCUCUUGUUCUUUUAACGAAUGAGAGAGGGAUCAUGUCUUUUUAUUUGACACUGUUGAUAACCUCCGUCCAAUGGCCAAGGAGAGUUUACAUAUGUAGCACAUAUUAGGGCUUUUAAAAUUUGAGUAAUUCCACAAUUACCCUUAGAUUUUUAGGUAAUAAAAAUGAGUUAAAAAUGGUGAAAUAACAUUUAAUUUUUUAAUACAGUAAAUAAAAAUCAAAUUGAUUAUUUAUUUGUCCCUAUUUAUUUUUUCUUAAUAUUUUGAUAAAAAAAUAAAAAUAAAAGGAAUUAAAUCGAAUAAAACAGACGUGAAAAUGCACGAAAAAAUAAAACGAACGCAUUAAAAUAAUCUACGUGAAAUUAAGUUCCGUAAAACACACAGUUGUGGAUCGAAUCUCGCAGUAAAAAGUACUCAGAGGAAAAGGCAGUCUGAUCAAACUAGGACUGUACGAAAGUGCGAAAAAAUAAAACGAGCAUACCAGGUUAAUCUACGCGCAAUGUAGAUCAAUAAAACAAACAUUUACAGGCCAAAACCUAGAAAAAAAUGUUCAUUGAUUUUACGUGCGGUUAAGAAAUCAAUUCAACUGAUCCGUCUAUAGAACUGAAAUUUUAUUCUAAGCAAAACAAAAUAAAUUGGACGCCAAUAAAUUUGAAAUGCCCAGACAAAAUUGAGUUAUGACAAAUGCCCCUAUUUAAUUACCUUGAACCCAAAAGUAUGAACGACAAGGGUCUUCGUACAUUCAUGGUGAAAAAUAAUUAAAUACGAAAAGAUCCCAAAUCUUGUCAUAUUAAAUGCAGAGAUGAAUUGCAGUAAAGUUAGGAAAACGAGUUCAUUGUGAUAACAUACCAGAUUAAUAUCAACUCUCGAGUUGAUUCUGGUCAAAUUACAAGGAUUUUCAUUACCAAAAGGGUGAUGGUUAGGUCAUAAUGACAAAGAUUGUCAUCUCCAAAAGGAUGAUAGUUAGAUCAACAACCUACAAAGACCGCCAUCGACAAGAGGAAGAUGGUAGGAUUAACAACUUGCAAAGAUUACCAUUAAUAAAAGGAUGAUGGUUAGAUCAACAACCUCCAAGUUUGCCAUCACCAAAAGGAUGAUGGUAAUAUCAUAGUGAGAAAGGUUGCCAUCACCAAAAGGAUGAUGGUUAGAUCAAACUUCAAAGACUGCUAUCACAAAAAGGAUGAUGGUAAAGACUUAAAAAUAUUCCAUCACCAAAAGCGUGAUGGUAAAACCAUAAUUGCAAAUAUCGCCAUCACCAAAAGGAUGGUUGUUAGAUCAUAAUUCACAAAUAUCACCAACACCAAAAGGAUGAUGGUAAAAUCAACAAUUUGAAGAUUGUCAUUAUCAAAAGGAUGAUAGUAUAGGACUUGUUAGGGAGUAAGAUUAUCAACAAAAGGUUAGUUGAGCAAACUUGAGAGGGUAUUGGUAUCAACAAAAGGUCAAUGGGUAUGACUUGCUUGGGGAUAUCAUCAACAAAAGGUUGAAGAAAAAUAUUUACCGAAGAAUAUCAUUUUUAUCAACAAAAGGUUGAAGAAAAGACUUGCUUUAGAUUUAAUUAAUUAAUUAAGAGGGAAAUUGGGAGAAUAGUAAGAAUUUGGCUUAAAGCGUAAAUAAUGGAAAUUAAAUGGUUAGUUGAGAGAGGCUUAUGUUUAGUUGGGACAAAAUUAUAAUUAAAAUAAAUUUAAUUAUGUUAUAAUAUAUAUUUAGAGAAUUAGAAGAAAUAUGGUUUUAGAGCAUUUUGAGAGUAACAUGAAAAGAGAAGAAUAAAGAGUAAGAGCUUUUGGAGAAAGGGUUAGGGCUUUGGGAAGGAGAUCACAUAGAAGGUUGUUUAUUGCUUUUGCUGAAAUUACAAGGUAAGGGGGGUUAUUCAUCUAAGGAUGCCUUAAUCAUGAAAGGAUAGAGAAAUUUUCCUUAACCUCCAAUAGGAUUUUCCCUUUUUCCAUUGAUGGAUUGUUUUAUGUAUUGAUUGACAUGAAUCUGUUUAAUCUUAUGUAUUUAUCUAAAAUUCAUGCUCUGUAAAUCUGGUGAUUGUUUUUUAUGUUAAACUUGAAAUUCUGGUAUCAGAUAUGAGAUGUCGAAGGUAAUGUCACGACACUAAUAUCUUAACAAUAUAAACAGGAUAAAAGAUACAGAACAGUAGUACAAGUGACACAAGCAAUUAUUAACCCAGUUCGGUGCAAACUCACCUACGUCUGGGGACUACCAAGCCAGGAAGGAAAUCCACUAAACAUAAUUAGUUCAAAGACUCUCAGUAAACAACUUCAAGUUACAGUCUUUUCACCUAAUCUCUACCCGUGUGACUUCUAUCUAAGAACUCUUAGAUAUAAGAUCCUACUCACUUCCCCUCAAUCACAACAGUGAUGUAAAACAAAUAUUACAAUGAAAGAAGACACUCUUCAAGAACACAUACUUGAUCUUGCUUAAAAGCUUCAACCAAGUAAACACACACUCAUGCUUCAAAGCUUAGAAAAGAAGACACUCUUCAAGAACACAUACUUGAUCUUGCUUAAAAGCUUCAACCAAGUAAACACACACUCAUGCUUCAAAGCUUAGAGUGGACAAAUUACAACUCAAAAGUCAGUCAAAUUCAAUCAUCAAUGGAUGAAUGAAUGGCUCACAAUACACACAAUCACACAAGACUAAAACCCUUAUUCUCUCUCACUAUUUUGUUCGUUAUUUCUUGUGCGUUAAAACCAGGUUUUCCACGCCCUUUACAUAGAAGCGUUUGGUUGGGAUUGGACAUCAUAAAACCCUAAAGCUAUUUUCCAUUCGUAUCUUCUUAUGAUAGCUGAUCAUAUCUUGUUGGAAAAUAAAUCACUCUGGUUUUAAUUACUGAUUGAAUGACGCGUUCAAUCAUCACAUCAAUUACACAUAGAUUAGCAUAAAAAGCGCAAUCACACAAUACAUAACAUUCAGACUGAAUGUUCUGUAUACAGAUGUCUUGACAUCGGGUCUGACAUCUCAGCUAAAUCCUGCACAUCCAUAUUUUAAACACCCUGCAGGAACCUGUUACCUCAUGUCAAGACAACACUUGUGACAACUUGUGAAAACUCUAGGUUUUACCAAAAUUGAUGCCAACACAUAGAACCAACAAACUCCCCCUUUGGCAAAUUUUGGCUAAAACAUACAUCAGAUCAUUUACUCUAGGUUUUACCAAAAUUGAUGCCAACACAUAGAACCAACAAACUCCCCCUUUGGCAAAUUUUGGCUAAAACAUACAUCAGAUCAUUUGUUUCACAAGAGAAUAAUCACAGUAUCAGUUUAGCAGAAAAGUAAUAAAACACACAUUACUAGCUAAAGUAGUAACUAGUAAACACAUAUUAAACACAUAUGCACUUGUGCUCCACCUCCCCCUCAGUCUUCUCAACAGACAGAACACUUCUCCUCUUUAUCAUCACCUGUAACAUACACCUCCCCAUAUAACAUCACCUAUAACAUACAUCUCCCCAUCUAACAUCACCUUCAACAUCAUCUGUCAUCUGUUUAUAGUAUAGCCUAGCUACUUUAGCUACUUCUCCCCUUUUUUAGCCAAAAGAGACCAAAGAGACAAAGUAAAUGUCUAUUAGUCAAACAGAAUGUCACACAGAAUGUCAAAGCAGAUUGUUAAGUGUUACAGAUCCCAGAACACACACACACAACUAUACAAGCUGAGAUAAAAAUCCAGAAAAACCAAAAAGAACCCAAAAAAAAAUACAUCAAGGUAGCAGAACAUGACUACCAAAAGAAACACCAGAACAUCCAUCACAACACAUCAUCAGAAGAGUGGGGGACAACUUCAACAAAACUAGUCAGAGGAGCUUGCAUCUUCAUCAACAUCAGAACCAGAACUGCCACUUGUUUCAUCUUUAGAUUCAGACCUCUCACUAGAGGUUUGGGGUUCUGUUUCCUCGGCCUGUCCAACAUUCUCUCUUUCAGCUUGCUCCAAGCUUGAAAUUAGAGCCUCCAAAGCUUCUUUCCUGGUUUUUUCUACCCUUAUCCCUGUAUCCAAUUCUUUAUAAGUUUCUUUCAGUUCAGCAAUAAGACCACCUUUUGAGGCUGACUUCUUCACAGUAGAUGUCAUGACAAUGUCUUCGACAUGACUGCCUUCAAACAAUUUGUAAUGAAAUGAUAGAGGAGGUUUUAUUCUACUAGGAAGAUCAUUUGUGCUCAGAAUUCCAGGUUGCUGGCUCAGGAUAAUCCCACAAAUCAUUGAGGGAAAAGCUAUGGGCAGCUUCACUGCAUUUGUAGAAGCAUGUUUGACAAUAUUGUUUCGAAAGGCAGUAAAGUCUACCAUAAUCAAAUUUCAGCUUAGUCCAACAACAAAGAUGAACCUUCCAAGGCAUUUGAAAUUGUAGAGAUGUGGUUGGUUGGUUACCCAAUUGCUGACCCUAUCUUGUGCAAUAUAGAAUAUUCACAGUCAGCUUCCCAGCAGGGAGAUGCUCUUGCUAGGCCACUCCUUCACCUGUCUUGCAGUGAUUUCCCUACAGACCUCAUUAUCUGUGGCUUCCAGUUCACAUGCACCUUCUGUUCCUCUUCCUAAAAACUUGUUAAUCACAGUUGGAGAAAAUGUGAUACAUUUCCCUCUUACAAACACUUUACAAAAUUCUUUGCUGUUUUUAUCAACAAUGUCUUCAGGAAUGUUGACCACAAAUUCUUUAACCAGUCCUUCAUAACACUGAGAUAACCUAGCAACAGUUUUCAUUAAUUUAGCAGUUUUAAUCAGGUCCAUGACCUCUUUGACCUCCACAACAUCCUUGCCCAAUUCUCUCUCCACCGUCACCCUUCUUUGGAUUACAAACUUCCAUUUUACUGCUCCAUCUUCAAGAUGGAAAGAAAUAUUGUCCAGGUGUACAACAACGACUUUUAUAGGGAUUUCCUAACAGUUAUCCUCUAAACAGGGGAGAUGUCAGGGACAUCUUCUUCAACAUCUUCAUUUGAGUCAAAAAUUUCUCUCACUUUCCUCUUCUUCACCUCAACUUUGCUCCAAGAUUUUGAGGGGCCUACACCAGUAGUCUUUUUAGCAGUUUUGGCUGACAUCAUUUCAGCCACAUGCCUACCCUUUCUAGUCUUCAUCCUCUUAGCCACAUUAGGCUUCAAGUGAUGAAGCAAGCUAUCAUCUUGAUCAUCCGAACUAUCAACUUCUAGGUUAAUCACCUUCUUUGUAGAAUCAUGCUUCUUAGACUGUGAAGCAUUGGCAGUAGGUGAUGCCACAAAUUUCUUACCAGACAAAGUUUGCCCUAAAUAGCACAAACCUUCAGCAACUAUAUCCUUUUCAGACCUAGAGGAAUCAUCAUCCUUCUCAUUAUGAGUUCCAACCUUAGGAGAGGGGUCCCUUCUUGAUAGAGGAGUACAAACUCCCUUUACAGAAUGUCCUUCAUUGAGAAUCCUAGUGACUAGGUUUCCUAUGACACGAUCAGUGUGAUGCAUGUCGUCCUUAGAACUAGGAGUAUGAGUAGAGCUGGAGGGGAUAUUAGAAUUGUUACCUUGAGUAGGGCAUGCAGUGGCGGAUGAGUCAGGAGCUUCACCUGGAAUGACAGACAGGGGAAUCACUUCCAAAAUAUCUUCAUCAAGAAAGUCCAUAGAAGGCGUUCUAUCUUUGUGAGUAGGUUUGGUAGUUUUAGAACCAGAUGGUGUUGGAUGUUGUGACAUCUUAUUGUUUUUGUGGAAAGGUUUCAGUUGCCCUAGUAGAGAAGUUUGAUGAAGUUGCGGGAAGUUGGAAAUGUUUGAGUAGAGGUUGCGUGUGAAAAGGCAAUAGAUGGAAUUUCCAAUACUAAGUGAUGAUUUACCAUAAAUGGGGCACUUUAUUUUAAGUGGGCAGACAAUAUUUUUAUUACCUUUUCCACUCCAAAUUAAUUGCUACAAAUUCUCAUAAAUACAAAUCCCUAAUUUUCCUCUUAGAGAUUCAAAUUGGUUUGCAUCCAAGGCCUUUGUAAAAAUAUCAGCUAAUUGCAUUCCAGUAGCAACAUGCUCUAGGGCUAUAAUUUUAUCUUCCACUAGUUCUCUAAUAAAAUGAUGACGAAUAUCAAUAUGUUUUGUCAUGAUGUGCUGAAUAGGAUUCUUAGAAAUAUUUAUAGCACUCAGGUUGUCACAAUACAAUGUCAUGACAUCUUGCGUGACAUUGUAUUCAGUCAGCAUCUGUUUCAUCCAAACCAGUUGAGAAUAACUACUUCCAACUGCUAUGUAUUCAGCUUCAGCAGUGGACAAAGACACACAAUUUUGUUUCUUACUAAACCAUGAUAUAAGUUGUUCCCCAGGAAGAAGCAUCCUCCUGAUAUGCUUUUCCUAUCAUCAACACUUCCAGCCCAAUCAACAUCACAGUAUCCAGUCAGUAAAAAUCCAGAUCCAUGAGUGUACAACAUCCCAUAGUCAUUGGUGCCAUUGACAUAUUUCAGUAUCCUUUUCACUUGGUUUAUGUGACUGACUUUUGGUUCAGCUUGAUAUCUAGCACAAACACCUACAACAUUGGUGCCAUUGACAUAUUUCAGUAUCCUUUUCACUUGGUUUAUGUGACUGACUUUUGGUUCAGCUUGAUAUCUAGCACAAACACCUACAACAAAAGCAAUGUCAGGUCUGCUUGCUGUGAGAUAUAUCAGACUCCCUAUCAUGCUUCUGUAGAAAAAUGGAUUAUUCACGUUUGGUGGUUGGUGUUCUGGUAAACCAAAAUGUACCGAGGUCGGGAACGUGUAUAAACUCAAACCCGGUCCGGGGGCUCAAAGGCUUCAACAACUUCUACCUGGAUUAACAUUGAAGGCUAAAUCUGGUGAGGAUCAAUGUAAAUAGAUUCCUGUUUGGAGAUUGAUGAAGGUUGAAGUGAAAUUGAAUUUCAUUGAUAAUAUAAGCUUAAAGGCAUUGAUUUAAUCAUAACAGUACCUAAAAGAUGGCAUGAGGAAUUAAGGACCAUCUUUUAUUUUUGUAGGUCCUUUUACAUAGAGGUUACAUGAUUUUUUGGAAGCAUCAUGGUCAAGGGAUUUUAUAGUUAUUUUUUUCCAUCAUUUUUUUUGUUACUUUAUAUACAUGAAUCAUAUGAUAUUUAUGAUUUUCUAUAUACAAAAGAAUUAUUGGAGAAGUCUUUACCCGUUCUCAAAUUCUCUAACCUAUUAUC